rnacentral:rRNA from 1 species
UUCGCAAUGCCCGAAAGGGUGACGAAGCGACGCCGCGUGGGUGAGGAAGGCCUUCGGGUUGUAAAGCCCUGUCAGGAGUUAAGAAAUGUAAGUGUGCCAAUAUCGCAUUUACUUGACGAAGGCUCCAAAGGAAGUCACGGCUAACUCUGUGCCAGCAGCCGCGGUAAUACAGAGGUGGCAAGCGUUGUUCGGAAUUAUUGGGCGUAAAGAGCACGUAGGUGGGUUUGUAAGUCAGAUGUGAAAGCCUCCUGUUCAACGGGUGAAUUGCAUCUGAAACUACGAAUCUUGAGUGUAGGAGGGGAGAAUGGAACUUCUGGUGGAGCGGUGAAAUGCGUAGAUAUCAGAAGGAACGCCGGCGGCGAAAGCGAUUCUCUGGCCUAUUACUGACACUCAGUGUGCGAAAGCUAGGGGAGCAAACGGGAUUAGAUACCCCGGUAGUCCUAGCCGUAAACGAUGGGCACUAAGUAGAGGGGUUUU